GGGAAGUGAUGAGUGGUUGGUUCUCGCAAUGAAGAUGGCGGAUGGGUGUCAGCCCCAAAAGCCUGGUUAUUACAUCUGGACACUCUAAUCUUUAACUCGUCUGAUCCC